rnacentral:rRNA from 1 species
UGGNUGNCGUCAGCUCGUGUCGUGAGAUGUUGGGUUAAGUCCCNNNNCGAGCGCAACCCUCAUCCUUAGUUACCAUCAGGUAAUGCUGGGGACUUUAAGGAAACUGCCAGUGAUAAACUGGAGGAAGGUGGGGAUGAUGUCAAGUCAUCAUGGCCCUUAUGGAGUGGGCUACACACGUGCUACAAUGGUGGCUACAAUGGGCUGCAAAGUCGCGAGGCUAAGCNAAUCCCUUAAAAGCCAUCUCAGUUCGNAUUGUACUCUGCAACUCGAGUGCAUGAAGUUGGAAUCGCUAGUAAUCGUGGAUCAGCANGCCACGGUGAAUACGUUCUCGGGUCUUGUACACACUGCCCGUCACGCCAUGGGAAUUGGUUUCACUCGAAG